ACUAAUUACAUUCCCAACUGUAGAAUAUAAGAUUCCUGUUGCUUGACUUUCUUGCCAAUACUUUGAUAUUUUCAAGUAUCGAAAUCUGGUAGCCAUUUUUCACCCAGUAGAAUUGCCCUCACUUUUAAGGCUUACUGGUACAAGUUCUUAAAGACUGAAAAGGAGUUCUCAGAAACAAAUCAAACCUCUUUUUAUGUGGGCUUCUCGUUUCUCCUUGGGGUCAGACACUUAACAAGCUGUUCAUAAUAUGCCAUGCUGGGCCUAAUGUUCAGCCCUUAGAAGAAAAGGCCGUAUCAGCUGAGACAAGUGAACAGCAGACAGAGUUAGGAAUUAGGAAGCUUGGGCUCUAACCUGCUUCUGUCACUGAAGCUUUGCAGGGCCCACGUAUGAGUCAUGUCCCCUCUCCGCAUCCUAUCUGCUCACUAGGCAUAACAGAACUGACCUUCCUCCCAGCCCCGCCGUGAGGAUGAAAUCCUGUGUGGAGCACUUUGAAAUCCUUGGAUGAAAAGCACGACAGAAGUGCCAAGUAUGAUUGUUACCCGUGCCAGCCACACUAGAAGACAGCAUAAAAAUAGGAAGCAAAGAAAAUUUCAUUUUACAAAAGCUUCAGUGAGAAAAUUGGCUGGUCAGAAUGUCAUUCCCUGGUUUUGGUUCACAUACACGUUGUCUUUUAUAAAAUUAAAAGAAAAAAAUAAUUGUACACAUUUUUAACUUUGCCGGGAAGAAGCCCUGUGAUCACCACCAUCCCUGUGACGCCAGGAAUCGAAGCCAUAAAGUCUGAGGGGAUGUUACAGGUUGAGGAUUAGGGAGUGUCUAAACCUUGACGUCGUCACAACACAGGAUCCGAGAUACCUCUGGCUGAAACGGAGACUGUGCUUUCAGAACUGGCCCAGCACCCAGUCUCUACUCCAAUGCUCUCAGGAUCCUGCCCUUAAUAGGAGAACAUGAGAGUUGCAGAUUUAAAAACCCAAGAGGAAACCUUUGCAACAACCUUUGUCAUAUUAGGAAUCCCAAAAUAAGGAGAUAUGGAAAUGUCAUGUAUUUUACCUGGAAAUCCUGUUACUGUGCCCAUUUUUGGAGCUGAGAAAACUAAAGGGCGGAGCCUACUAGCUAAGAGAAGACAAUCUCCAGGAAACUACUGCUUCAUUUAUUUGACACUGGGCAGAAGUUUCGGUGAGAAAUCAGCAAGAUCAUAGCCUGGAGUGAACACUGGAGGCAGGAGAUGUCCUUGAGAAAGAGGCUACAACAGAGGGUGGAACACCUCUUCCAUUAAAGCGGCUGUUUUCCAGAGUUUCUGAAAAGCUCCCUCCUUUGUCAUGGUGGUGGUGGGGAAGGGCAGGCUGGGACCCUAAUGCAUGACUUUCCACCUGGGUGUUACUGGCAUCUGAUGUCCUAAUCAUAUUUCCCUGUCACCUCUCAGUGCUGAUUUACUUUCUCCUCCCAUUCUACAUGCUGCAGAACUAAUUGCCUGCCUAAUUGCCAAAACUAAUUGCUGUGACAUUCAUUGUUCAUCUGCUCCUUUCUCCGGCUUCAGCUCAGGCAGGUGGCUCCCAUGAAGGCAAGGGUGGAAUUAUUCCUGCUUUGGGGCCAGGAUGCUUCAGAGUGAUGGCCCAACAAUUAUCUUCCUCAUGGAGGCGGACCAAGGAAUCACCUUCCUCACUGAACAGAGGACAAUAAUUCUUGGCAGGGGUUCACCUUCUUCUGGUGUGAGAUUGGGUAGCUUUGACAGAUUGUAAGUCAAUUAAAUUGUACUUUUCAGGGAGUUCCUCUCUCCCAUUUAGAGAUUAGGAUUAGAUUUGUUCAUUAGGAAAUUGACCCAGAGAAGUGAGACAGCUACUUGCUGGCCACAUAGCUCAUUCAUGGCGAAGUUGAAACUGGGGCUCAGAUAUCCCA